GAUGAACGCUGGCGGCAUGCCUAAUACAUGCAAGUCGAGCGAACAGACGAGGAUCUUGCCUCUUUUACGUUACCGGCGGACGGGUGAGUAACACGUGGAUAACUUACCUAUAAGACUGGCGUCCCUUCGGGAACGCGGAUCUAAUACCGGUUAACAUGUUGAACCGCAUGGUUCAACAGUGAAAGCCGGUCCUGCUGUCCCUUAUACAUGGAUCCGCGCCGCAUUAGCUAGUUGCUAAGGUAGCGGCUUACCAAGGCAACGAUGAGUAGCCGACCUGAGAGGAUGAUCAGCCACACUGGAACUGAGACACGGUCCAGACUCCUACGGGAGGCAGCAGUGGGGAAUCUUCGGCAAUGGGCGAAAGCCUGACGGAGCAACGCCGCGUGAGUGAAGAAGGUCUUCGGAUCGUAAAACUCUGUUAUUAGGGAGGAACAAAUGUGUAAGUAACUAUGCACGUCUUGACGGUACCUACUCAGAAAGCCACGGCUAACUUCGUG
rnacentral:rRNA from 1 species